UACGUAGGCAGCGAGCGUUGUUCGGAGUUACUGGGCGUAAAGGGUGUGUAGGCGGUUGUUUAAGUUUGGUGUGAAAUCUCCCGGCUCAACUGGGAGGGUGCGCCGAAUACUGAAUGACUAGAGUGCGGGAGAGGUGAGUGGAAUUCCUGGUGUAGCGGUGAAAUGCGUAGACAUCAGGAGGAACACCGGUGGUGUAGACGGCUCACUGGACCGUAACUGACGCUGAGACACGAAAGCGUGGGUAGCAAACAGG
rnacentral:rRNA from 1 species